rnacentral:rRNA from 1 species
CGCUCUUUGGAUUAUACAAUAUAAAGAGUUGAGCCUGCCCAGUGAUACACAUUUAACGGCCGCGGUACUCUGACCGUGCAAAGGUAGCAUAAUCAUUUGCCUUAUAAUUGAAGGCUGGUAUGAAUGGUUUGACGAAAAUAAAGCUGUCUCCUUUUAAUUUUAUAGAACUUUAUUUCUAGGUGAAGAAGCCUAAAUGCAAUUGAUAGACGAGAAGACCCUAUCGAGCUUAAAGAAAUUUUGCUAAAAUAAAUUAUUAUAGAAAUAAAUUAGUAAAAAAUUUUAGUUGGGGCGACUAAGGAACAAUAAAGCUUCCGUUAUAAUAUUAUAACAUAUUAGUUAUGAUCCAAAAUUUUUGAUUAAAAGAAUUAGUUACCGUAGGGAUAACAGCAUAAUCUUUUUUAAGAGCUCUAAUCGAAAAAAAGGUUUGUGACCUCGAUGUUGGACUAGAAUAUCCUAAAUGAUGCAGAAGUCUUUAAGGGUUGGUCUGUUCGACCAUUAAUAUUCU